rnacentral:rRNA from 1 species
AACAAAAGAUUUAACAUUUUAUUUAUUUUAUUAAACUUAAAAUUUUCAAACUUACUUAAUUGUAAAAAGACAAUUAUUUUUAAAAAAGACGAUAAGACCCUAUCGAACUUAACUUAAGUUAAACUGGGGUAGUUAAUCAAUUAAAAUUUUAAUUUAUUUUUUAUUAAAAUUAUCUAUUUAAAUUAAUUAAUCAAGUUACCAUAGGGAUAACAGCGCAAUUACAUUCAAUAGUUCUUAUAUAAAAAACAGAUUACGACCUCGAUGUUGAAUUAAUCACCUCCUUAAAGCAAGAUUUAAAUAUUAAAGGAAGUCUGUUCGACUUUUAAACAAUUACAUGAUUUGAGUUCAGACCGGUGCAAACCAGGUCGGUUUCUAUCUUUUAAUAAUUUUUCUACAGUACGAAAGGACCCAUUAAUAUAAUUAUAUUAAUAUAUUAGCAAAUAAAUGCAUUAGAAUUAGAAUCUAAUAAAACU